AAGGCAGAAUCUCUGAGUUCGAAAGUAAAGACUAUACAACUUCCAGAUCAAUGAAGACUUCAAAAUCUUGAAAGGAGGUCUCUUUAUUUCAUGUGGCUGAAUGUUUUGCUUACAGGUUCAGAAGUUUAGUCCAUUAUCAUCAAGGUGGGACAUGAC